rnacentral:lncRNA from 1 species
UUUGCUUUCUCUUGGCAUGUUUAUUUUAUAGGUUGCUACUGAGACUUACAGCUUUGAUUCCAAUUUGUGUAUUCUAUAGCUUUAUCAGGUUUGCAAGUCCUUCAUUCACCUCUGUUUUGCAGCCUUUUAAAUGCUACACAGCACCAGUCCAGUCUCCUGCUGGUCUUAUUGCUCUCUACAUGAUGACCACUCGAGGUAUGUGGUCUUUUCCUUGACGUGAUCGCUCGAUUCCUCAUCAUUUAGUUUAUAAAGUUUUUCGGUAGUGCUUCUUUUUUCAUUGAGCAAUUUCUUUGAAGCUGAGGUAGAGCUCCAUUCCUGAGAAUUGUGCUUAAGAACUUUCAUAGAAGGGUCACCAAACUGUCACUACUGCCAUUUCUGCAUGAUGUUCGUGAUUUUGCAGCUUAAACUUGUUGUGAGAAAAACCAGUUACUGCAGGAAAAAAAUGACUAAAAAAGCAGGCACCAGACACCAAGAAAAAGAAAAA